rnacentral:rRNA from 1 species
AGAGUUUGAUCCUGGCUCAGGAUGAACGCUAGCUACAGGCUUAACACAUGCAAGUCGAGGGGAAACGACAUCGAAAGCUUGCUUUUGAUGGGCGUCGACCGGCGCACGGGUGAGUAACGCGUAUCCAACCUGCCCACCACUUGGGGAUAACCUUGCGAAAGUAAGACUAAUACCCAAUGACGUCUCUAGAAGACAUCUGAAAGAGAUUAAAGAUUUAUCGGUGAUGGAUGGGGAUGCGUCUGAUUAGCUUGUUGGCGGGGUAACGGCCGCAAGGCUACGAUCAGUAGGGGUUCUGAGAGGAAGUCCCCANAUUGGAACUGAGGCACGGUCCAAACUCCUACGGGAGGCA